GCUCUCUGCAGGUAAGAUAUCAAAUCAUCCCUUAAAGUUAAUUGACAAAAGCAAUCCAAACAACUAAAAUCUGUCUGCAUUUGAAUCCAUACAACGUUGAAAAGAACACCCCAAAUGCAUAAAAUAAACAUCAAACCAUAUCCCAGAAGAGCCAACCAAGAAAUGGGCAUUUACAAUCCAUGAUUUAUUCUAGUCCUAAAAUCACCUUAUCCAUCAAUAAAGCA
rnacentral:misc_RNA from 1 species